UGUUUUUUUUUUUUCUUUUGCUCAUGAGGAACCUAUAAAGAGAGCAAGUGAGGAUGACUCGGAUGUAUGUGUUCACUCUCAAAAUUUUUAUAAAUAGGUCUUGUUCUUAUCUUAACUCUCCUAGCAGAUAAUGUACAUUCUCAGUUAUGCUUUACUUCUUCAUAAUCGUCUUCUUGUAUGUUUCAACAAAAAGGGUAUUGUGAAAAAAGAAAAUGAAAGAAAAAUGGAAAGGAUAAGUUAACUCAUGGGCAGACCAGAUCAAAGCUUAGCUUCCAAGGCUUCUUCACGAGUCUGGUGGCUAACUCAAAAAAGGAGAGAAGAUGGGAGGAAUGGCGCUUGGGUACUACCCAUUACUCCCAUCGGAACUACCUUGAGCGCUUUGUCGUCUUUUUUCUCGCCAGUUUUCUCCCCACAUCUUCGCCUCAGCAACAGCCCUUUCUCUAUCUAAAUCCCUGUUUAACAUUCUUGCAGUUUCUCUCGGGGAAUCUUCUUUCUCAGACCCAUCC
rnacentral:misc_RNA from 1 species